rnacentral:rRNA from 1 species
UACGAAGGGGGCUAGCGUUGCUCGGAGUUACUGGGCGUAAAGGGUGUGUAGGCGGUUUUUUAAGUUUGGUGUGAAAUCUCCCGGCUCAACUGGGAGGGUGCGCCGAAUACUGAAAGACUAGAGUGCGGGAGAGGAAAGUGGAAUUCCUGGUGUAGCGGUGAAAUGCGUAGAUAUCAGGAGGAACACCGGUGGUGUAGACGGCUUUCUUGGACCGUA